rnacentral:rRNA from 1 species
GAUGAACGCUGGCGGCGUGCUUAACACAUGCAAGUCGAACGGAAAGGCCCUGCUUUUGUGGGGUGCUCGAGUGGCGAACGGGUGAGUAACACGCGAGUAACCCGCCCUUGUCUUUGGGAUAACUUCAGGAAACUGGGGCUAAUAUCGGAUAGGAGCUCCUGAUCCAUGGUGGGGGUUGGAAAGUUUGGGCGGUUGGGGAUGGACUCGCGGGUUAUGAGCUUGUUGGUGGGGUUGUGGCUUCCCAAGCUUUUGACGGGUAGCCGACCUGAGAGGGUGACCGGCGACAAUGGGACUGAGAUACGGCCCAGACUCGUACGGGCGGCAGCAGUGGGGAGUAUUGCACAAUGGGCGGAAGCCUGAUGCAGCAGCGCCGCGUGCGGGAUGACGGCCUACGGGUUAUAAACCACUUUCGCCUGUGACGAAGCGUGAGUGACGGUAAUGAGUAAGGAAGCACCGGCUAACUACGUG